CGCCAGUCUGCAUGGAGCCGACCUUGAAAUACCACCCUUUAAUGUUUGAUGUUCUAACGUUGACCCGUAAUCCGGGUUGCGGACAGUGUCUGGUGGGUAGUUUGACUGGGGCGGUCUCCUCCUAAAGAGUAACGGAGGAGCACGAAGGUUGGCUAAUCCUGGUCGGACAUCAGGAGGUUAGUGCAAUGGCAUAAGCCAGCUUGACUGCGAGCGUGACGGCGCGAGCAGGUGCGAAAGCAGGUCAUAGUGAUCCGGUGGUUCUGAAUGGAAGGGCCAUCGCUCAACGGAUAAAAGGUACUCCGGGGAUAACAGGCUGAUACCGCCCAAGAGUUCAUAUCGACGGCGGUGUUUGGCACCUCGAUGUCGGCUCAUCACAUCCUGGGGCUGAAGUAGGUCCCAAGGGUAUGGCUGUUCGCCAUUUAAAGUGGUACGCGAGCUGGGUUUAGAACGUCGUGAGACAGUUCGGUCCCUAUCUGCCGUGGGCGCUGGAGAACUGAGGGGGGCUGCUCCUAGUACGAGAGGACCGGAGUGGACGCAUCACUGGUGUUCGGGUUGUCAUGCCAAUGGCACUGCCCGGUAGCUAAAUGCGGAAGAGAUAAGUGCUGAAAGCAUCUAAGCACGAAACUUGCC
rnacentral:rRNA from 1 species